GCGAGGAUGGCGGAAUUGGUAGACGCGCCAGAUUUAGGAUCUGGUGGAUUAUCCGUGCGGGUUCAAGUCCCGCUCCUCGCACCA
rnacentral:tRNA from 1 species